rnacentral:rRNA from 1 species
UACGAGAGGCCCAAACGUUAUUCGGAAUUACUGGGCUUAAAGAGUUCGUAGGCGGCGCAGAAAGUAGGGUGUGAAAGCCCUCGGCUCAACCGAGGAAUUGCGCUCUAAACUACUGUGCUUGAGGAAGCUAGAGGUGAGCAGAACAGAUGGUGGAGCGGUGAAAUGCGUUGAUAUCAGGAGGAACACCGGUGGCGAAGGCGGGUCUCUGGGCAGUAACUGACGCUGGAGGAGCGAAAGCGUGGGGAGCGAACAGG